AAAAAAAAUCGCCAAAAAACUGGACUUAGUUUCAUCUAUUGUAACAUUUACCUGAGAUGAUCAUUUCUUUAGUCUAGAAUUUGCCCCAAAUCAGAAGUAUACCUCUGAAUUAUCUGUAUGUGUCCUGGAUUCCUUGGGGUCAGAUUUUUAAAGUUACUUUAUAACCAUUUUGUCCAUUUGAUGCCAUUGUUUAUCAUCUUUUGAGAAAAAAGUUCUGUCAUACCCUUCUCUCCACAAAAAAGAGACUGAGAGGGAGAUCAAGUGAAAGGGUGC
rnacentral:lncRNA from 1 species